AGUGGCAUAAUAUUAAUCUAAUUUAGACAACUUUUUCGUAAAAGAACGGUUUGACGUUGAACCUAAACACGUAAUUUUUAAAUAUCGGCCUGUCAAAAAUCUUUCUAUUUUAACUUAAACAGUAGAUAAACACCAUUUCUUCAAUUUAUUUAGUACAUAGAAAAGUAACUAAAAUAUACAAAUCACACAAUACGGUACAAUUAUUUAGUACCAGUCCAACAUAAAAUUUAAUCAAAGUGUGAUUCAUGUACGUUCUCAGUUUAUAAUGAUAUGCCACGCACUAGUAUUUUAUAGUUUUUUUAUGGUGUAUGUCAAAAAAAUUAUAAAAUGUUACUAUGGAAAUCAGUUAAAGAUAAUCUGUUUUAGCAUACGUAUGCAAAUUUCUUUAGAUACUUAAUAAGAUAUACACAAUAAGUUUAUAGUUUUUAAUAAAAUAUUGAUCACUUGAUGUAAACAUGCAGCUCUUGACUGUAUGUUUGUGUUAUAGCAUGGGCAAGCUUAUGGGUUUUUUUUAACCCAGCGAUAUGUUUACAUGAACCACUUACUGUUAACUGAUUGAAUUAUAUUCCUGUACAGUCAACAUGCAUGGUGACAACCUCUGUGUGUCCGAUUGGUUGGGUGUGUGAACUGACAGUUUAACUCAAACAAUUGUUAUAUUUUCCCUUAGCACUCAUUGGCAAGAUACAUGUCAUUUACUUAUUUUAAUUUAAACAUAUUUUAUUGAGUAAUCAAAUGGAUUAGGCAACAGGCAAAGCCUAUAUAAACCCUCUCCAAAAUACAAAGUCAAGAAGUGGUGUUAAAAUAAUCAUAGAAUAUAGUAUGUUGUAUAAUUUACCAGUUUACAGAGUGAUAUAUUAUUGAUAUAUUUGUAUACAAGACAAAGGAUCAUUGAAUAAUAAAUAAUAAGCUUGACUUUUGUCAUAUGAUG
rnacentral:misc_RNA from 1 species